AUUGAACGCUGGCGGCAGGCCUAACACAUGCAAGUCGAACGAGUGGCGGACGGGUGAGUAAUGUCUGGGAAACUGCCUGAUGGAGGGGGAUAACUACUGGAAACGGUAGCUAAUACCGCAUACCUCCAGAUUUGCCAGAAUGGGAUUAGCUUGUGGGUGGGGUAACGGCUCACCAAGGCGACGAUCCCUAGCUGGUCUGAGAGGAUGACCAGCCACACUGGAACUGAGACACGGUCCAGACUCCUACGGGAGGCAGCAGUGGGGAAUAUUGCACAAUGGGCGCAAGCCUGAUGCAGCCAUGCCGCGUGUAUGAAGAAGGCCUUCGGGUUGUAAAGUACUUUCAGCGGGGAGGCGUUACCCGCAGAAGAAGCACCGGCUAACUCCGUGCCAGCAGCCGCGGUAAUUC
rnacentral:rRNA from 1 species